UUGAACGCUGGCGGCAGGCCUAACACAUGCAAGUCGAACGGUAACAGGAAGAAGCUUGCUUCUUUGCUGACGAGUGGCGGUCGGGUGAGUAAUGUCUGGGAAACUGCCUGAUGGAGGGGGAUAACUACUGGAAACGGUAGCUAAUACCGCAUAACGUCGCAAGACCAAAAAGGGGGACCUUCGGGCCUCUUGCCAUCGGAUGUGCCCAGAUGGGAUUAGCUAGUAGGUGGGGUAACGGCUCACCUAGGCGACGAUCCCUAGCUGGUCUGAGAGGAUGACCAGCCACACUGGAACUGAGACACGGUCCAGACUCCUACGGGAGGCAGCAGUGGGGAAUAUUGCACAAUGGGCGCAAGCCUGAUGCAGCCAUGCCGCGUGUAUGAAGAAGGCCUUCGGGUUGUAAAGUACUUUCAGCGGGGAGGAAGGGAGUAAAGUUAAUACCUUUGCUCAUUGACGUUACCCGCAGAAGAAGCACCGGCUAACUCCGUG
rnacentral:rRNA from 1 species